AUAACCUAACCCUAAUAUCCUCUUUAGCAGCCGCACACCUUCUUCUUCACAACUUCACUGUCGCCUCCUCACACCACAACUCGCCUAAAAAUGCUAAACCGGCAUGUGCUUGGUCCCCUCUCUUCCCCCUUAUCUUCUUCCACACGAAUUUCUUCCACGUGGCCUGACAAAUAACGGAUUUCGUACUAUCCAAUUCUGUCUCGUCCCCUCACGCGCUCUUCAUCUCACACGAAAUUCAUUUGAAGAUGGGGAUAGGAUUAAUGGGGAGCGUAGGAUUGAGUCUCACUCAAUCUACUCCCUCCAUUUGUCUUCUACUUGUUUAACAAAAGAAUUUUGGAUUUUUGGGAAAAAAUUCGAAUUUCUUGGGAAUUAAGUAUAGAAGGUUCGUGAUAAACCUUUAUAUAUGGGGUAUUGACGGAGAGGUUUUUUUUUCGGGGUUCGAAAAAUUGGGGAGUGAGGGCUAGGGUUUGGAAAGAGGGGUUUCUGUUGAUGUCCAUUCUUCAAUUUUAGCUUAAAUUCGAGAAAAACCAAAAAUACAAGAAAAAAAGUUGGAAUUUAGUGUCCUUGUUUAAGUUUUGUUUUCCAUUUCAAAUCUGAAAAAUACCAAAACAUAUAUACGCAUAUUACUGUUCAUUUUGUGGUUUUUCAAUAUUGGGUUUGGCUUCAAAAAAAAAAAGGAGGUCGAUUGAUGUGCUGAGGUUCGGUUCGAGUUUGUUGUCAAGUUCGUGAUUUCGGCUUGCGUUCCCGUCCGAUUCUUGUCGCGGUUUCCUCGCUCAAAUUUUGGUGUCAAGGCCUUGUACUUGCUUAUUUUUGUAUAGAGAAAGGAUUUGCUCAACAGGACUUACGCUUCGCCUCGUCAGAGGUAAAACGACUCGCCUCUCGCCCCCGCCUUUUAAAACACUCACUGGCCAAAAGAUUAGGCAUAAAAAGCUACCCUUCAAGGUAUCUUGUUUUCAUGCUAAGACUAUCGUGAUAAAGAUUACCAAGUGAUGAAGUCAUCAGAAGAUAUGGGCCAAGUAGAUGUCAUUGUUGCAGAUACCCUCAGGAGGACACAAUCCAACAUACCUCUAUAUCAAGUUGGAAGGUCAGAAAAGUUUGGCAAAUUUUUGGAAAUGCAUUUAGGAUAUCUACUAACUCAAACCUGAAACUCUUUUUGAUGAAUUGGUGGAUGGUUAAACAAAGGAAUGAAAUACAUUCAUUUGCUUUGCAAUAUGUUCUCUCUAUAAUUUGUUGGGAGUUAUUGAAAUAAAGGUGCACUGCCUAAUGUAUAGAGCAUUAUUUUUCGGAUUAUCUUCUGCUUACAGUUCAAUUCAAGGGAAUGAACUGGAAUGGCAUAUGGGCCAUUAUUUGUGCCAGAAUUAAAGGUCUAGAACUCAAACUUCAAGUUAAUAUUGUAAAGUGGCAACUUCCUCCAAGUGGUAGGCUGAAAUUGAACACAAAUGGUAGUAGUAAAGAGUUACAAAAAACUGCAUGGAUUGGUGGCAUUGUUUGAAAUGAAAGUGGAGAUUUAAUUAUGGCUUUCUCUAACCAAUUCAGUUCUGCACUAACAAUGUUGCAGAAGCUAAAGCUGCCCUGUUUGGAAUCUCUUGGUGUCAGUUUAAUAUGAUAGGUAAUAUUGUCUCGGAGAUGGACUCUAUGCUCAUAGUUACUAUGCUGAAAGGAGCCUUCAAACCUUCUUGGGACAUUAGAGAUGAUGUCAUCGAAAUACAAGCUACUAUUGCUCAGUUGAAAAUUGAAGUUCAACACUGCUAUAGAGAGGCAAACACUGUUGUUGAUGCCCUGGCAAAAUGGAAGCUCAUUACAAAACCUACCUCUAUAGCUAAAAUGUUCGUAUAUCAGUUCAGGAGCGCGCUGUCUUCAACUGGAGAAAAUAUGGGUUCCUAAUAAGGAUUAGACAAACAAAACUAUCACAUCAACUUGUUAACCAGUGUUAAUGUUUAUGCUUUUCACAGUUAACUCUUUGGUGAUCACAUUGAUAUAUUAUGUAAAAGAGGAUUCCUCCUCAAAUGCAGUUUUCUUGCCUUUUCAAUUGUCGUCUAGAAUGGCUAAGGUAACUCUUCAUCUUGUACCAGAGGCAAAGGUCUAUGUCCUCCUCCAUCUUAUGCUAUUUUGUGACUCUA